rnacentral:hammerhead_ribozyme from 1 species
AUCCAGCUGACGAGUCCCAAAUAGGACGAAACGCGCGUCCUGGCU